CAGUGGAAAACAACACUUUGGAAGCCAAGUAGCAGGCGUGCAGGGGUUACUGCAGCAGCUCUAACCUCUCUCGGGGAGGUCAGGUUUCGAAUAUCGAGGCGUCUUCCGAUAUCUGGCCAGUUGUGCUCUAAUGCUUCCGAAGACUUAAUGCCCAGCACAGUUGGUCUGUGUCACCCGACAGACGAUUCAGAUCGACACCCUUUACCCCACUUGGCUAAAAACAAUUGUUUACUCAGUUCUGUCCUUGUUAAAAGGCCAUUUUGGGAUAACCUGUGACCUUCAGGGACACCUUCAGGGUCUCCUGGAUGACUCCAAGUUGCUGAUCAAAAGAUCCUUUCUGCGUCCCUUCACACCCCUGGAGACGUUCGCCGUUUCUUAUUGAUAAAAUACUGAGGCAAGAGCCUGGCUUGCUCACCUGUGCUCAUCUCGGGGGAACAGACGGUUCAUAAACACACUCAGAUAUAUGAACUCACCACGGCAUGGAAAGUUCUCGGUCAGAUGCUGAGCCUGCACUCGGGAAAAUGUGUAAUUUCUACCCUUCUAGAACCAGACAUGGAGUCAGCUCUAUGGAACAUGGCAGGUGUUCUGAAGUUUGAGAACCUGCACCAUCCUGCAAGUGGACUCAGAAGCAGCUUUUGUUGGAGGCCUUGCUGGGGGUCCGGGCAUCCUGUGUGAGAUGAGCACUGAUGCUCUGGGCUCCCCAGGAAAGCCAGAGCCAGCUUUCCUUCCUGGUUCAGUCACAGAAGCUCCUUUUUAUCACUGACCAGGUGGGCCCCGGACCAGGUGAGCACUCCCCACCCUGCAGGGACCCGUCCCUGGGAUCUGAGCCCCUGCAAACUACAAAUCCCACUGAGAAGCCCACUUAUCUGCGCAGGAUCUCCCAGUUCCUUCCUUCCUUCCUUCCUUCCUUCCUUCCUUCCUUCCUUCCUUCCUUCCUUCCUUC